UUUUGGUCAUAUUAUUCUUUCUUUCUGUUUUUGCUUCCCUCAUUAAUCUUCGGCCUGCUUUGCAUCUGCGUCCAAGAAGCCGAGGUGUUACUUUUCGAGUCUGUUUUACGUCUCACCAUGGUAGCCAGGAUUAUUUAGAACAACAGUAGCUGUAUUCAAAGAAAACAAUCGCUGGGCUACAACAAUUCAGGGCUGUAAAGCUUUUAUACGUGUCAGCAGGAGCAGGAACAAUCGCUGGCCAACAUCCUUGGGGAAAACACUGACAAGAUGCAGCUUACCAGGAAGAUACUGGAUUUGAAACAGGAUGAGCAGCUAUAUCAUAAUCUUCAUGAGGAGAUCAAUCAUAUGGCCCUCAGACUGGAAAAACAGGAGAAGACUGAAGGAAAGACCAUCUCAACCCACAGGAAACACAUCAACAAAAUGUGGCUGAAGGCUCAGUCGCACUUGAAGGAAUAUCACGAGAAUCUUCAGCUUGCCCUCGUAGUCUCGUCCUUCUACCAGCAGGCCGAUAACAUUGUCUGUUCCAUCAGCAACAUGAGAAAAAGCCUCUCAGCAAGCAACGGAGUGGAAAACGCCAGAGAUGGGGAAAUUCGGGACAUUGCCAGUCAACUCAUGAUGCUGGAUGUGAGCGUUUCCCAGCUCUCCAACCUGCACCCAGCGCUGGUGGCCCGCGUCGCACAGAAGCAGAGCGAGGUGAAAGACUGCUGGGCCGUCCUCCGGAAGACUCUCAGGAACGAAAAGGCAGCUCAGCUCCCCUCCACCUCCUUGUUAACCAGGGACAGCAGUGACCCUGAAACCCCGAGCCAAGAGCCACCCGGCAGCGUGGGAACAGACCCACACAGGAUUAUGGGAAAGGAGGUUAAAGAGGAACAAAAUCGUCUGAAGGGGUUUACGGCCGGGAGAGACACCGAGCACUGCAGGAAGCCCUCAGACAGCUGGGAUGCAGGAGAGAUGGCAGCCCUCAAACUCCACACGGCCGCUGAAAGCGGGAACGCGCCGAGGCCCGAGUCCAGUGGCCACACACCGCUCCACACGCA
rnacentral:lncRNA from 1 species